rnacentral:lncRNA from 1 species
UUAUACCCACAAUGAUCGGUCAUACUAUUGCUAUCCAUAAUGGAAAAGAGCAUUUGCCUAUUUAUAUAACGGAUAGUAUGGUAGGCCACAAAUUGGGAGAAUUUGCACCUACAUUAAAUUUUAGAGGACAUGCAAAAAGCGAUAAUAGAUCUCGUCGUUAAUAUUAAUAAAAAAAUCUAGAUACUUAUGAUUCAGUAGUAGGAGACAAACCUUAUGCUAAAGAAGAAAAAAACAGAAGUAUAUGCUUUAGGUGAACAUAUAUCUAUGUCUGCUGACAAAGCACGAAGAGUAAUUGAUCAAAUUCGCGGACGUUCCUAUGAGGAAACGCUUAUGAUACUAGAACUCAUGCCCUAUCGAGCAUGUUAUCCCAUUUUGAAAUUGGUUUAUUCUGCAGCAGCAAAUGCUAGUUACAAUAUGGGUUCCAGCGAAACCAAUUUAGUCAUUAGUAAAGCCGAAGUCAAUGAAGGUACUACUGUGAAGAAAUUGAAACCUCGAGCUCGAGGACGUAGUUUUCCGAUAAAAAGAUCGACCUGUCAUAUAACUAUUGUAAUGAAAGAUAUAUCUUUAGAUGAUGAAUAUGGCGAGAUGUCUUCGUUAAAAAAAACGAGAUGGAAAAAAAAAUCUACAGCUAUGACGUAUCGUGAUAUGUAUAAUAGCGGGGGAUUAUGGGACAAAAAAUAAAUCCACUUGGUUUCAGACUGGGUACAACCCAAGGUCAUCAUUCCCUUUGGUUUUCACAACCCAAAAAUUAUUCUGAGGGUUUACAAGAAGAUAAAAAAAUCAGAGAUUGUAUCAAGAAUUAUGUACAAAAAAAUAUGAGAACGUCCUCUGGCAUCGAGGGAAUUGCACGUAUAGAGAUUCAAAAAAGAAUCGAUCUGAUCCAGGUCAUAAUCUUUAUGGGAUUCCCAAAAUUAUUAAUAGAAAGUCGACCGCGCGGAAUCGAAGAAUUACAAAUGACCUUACAAAAAGAAUUUAAUUGUGUAAACCGAAAACUGAACAUUGCUGUCACAAGAAUUGCAAAACCUUACGGAAACCCUAAUAUUCUUGCAGAAUUUAUAGCUGGACAAUUAAAGAAUAGAGUUUCAUUUCGAAAAGCAAUGAAAAAGGCUAUUGAAUUAACAGAACAAGCGGAUACAAAAGGAAUUCAAAUACAAAUUGCGGGGCGUAUCGACGGAAAAGAAAUUGCACGUGUCGAAUGGAUCAGAGAAGGCAGGGUUCCCCUACAAACGAUUCGAGCUAAAAUUGAUUAUUGCUCUUAUACAGUUCGAACUAUCUAUGGAAUAUUGGGCAUCAAAAUUUGGAUAUUUCUAGACGAGGAAUAAUUUUACUACUUGUCUUUCCCUUCUAUCCAAUGAUUGAACAAAAAAAAAGACCAAUUCAUUCUUUUUCUAAUCAAGGGGAACAUUUCUAAUUCUUAAUUCUUUCUAAUUCUUAAUUCUAUAAGGUUGAAUAAAAAUUCGAUUGACCAUUUGAUAUAAUUGCUAUGCUUAGUGUGUGACUCGUGGGUUUUGUUAGGGUUAGGAUUAAAAAAACCCAGCCCACAUAGUAUGAACUAAAAACUAUAGAACUAAUAACCAACCCAUCACUUCGCAUUAUCUGGAUCUAAAGAACCAGUCAAGAUAUGAUAUAUAGGUCAUAUCUUUGUAGCAACUGAAAUCUUUUGCAUAAACAAAAAAAUCUGCUUCUAAGUUGUAAAGCAAAAUAGACAAAAAAGAUGUGGAUAAAGGGAAGGAUGAGAGAAAGAGAGAAAAAGAAUACCAAUGAUAUAAAAUUCCAAUAUGUAAGGUCUAUGAGUAAUCUCAUAAAAGACAGUGUAAUAAAGCAUCAAUACGCAUUCAUACCAUACUAAAAAGAAUCUUCUUAUAGAAAUAGAACAAAAAAUCAAGAGCUUCGAGCCAAUAAAGACUAAGAAGAUUGACUCAAGAACCAAUUUGAUUCUGAGCUCCAUUGUAGAAUUCGGACCUAACCAUUAAGUAAGAAGUGAUGGGAACGACGGAACUUGUGAAUGCAAAAGAUUCUAUUGAAAAAGGAAUCUUAAUGAUUCACUGGUCGGGAUGGCGGAACGAACCAUAGAUUAAUUCAUGUAUUCUGAGAUCUGAGAAGUCACGAGUUAACCCUACAAAUGAAAUAGGGAUUGAAAGAGUAAAUAUUCGCCCGCGAAAACUUUUUUAUUGCAAAAUUUAGGACAAUACAAUAAAGGACAAAAUAAGGAUUUGGUAUAAUAAUACAAUUUUUUUUAUUUCUCUUUAGAAAACUACAAAGUUUAGUUAUCUAUUCAAACAAGAUAUACAAAUUACUAAUAGAUUUAAUGAAAUCUCAAAGAAGCCCACGUUCAAGGUAUUACUCAGUAAAUACAUAUCUUAUAUAUCUUAACUUAAGAUUUACUAUUCUAGCUUAAUUCAAAUUGAAUUUUUUUGAAUCCUUUUAUUUGCGAGGAGCUGGAUGAGAAGAAACUCUCACGUCCGGUUCUGUAGUAGAGAUGGAAUUCAGAACCAACCAUCAACUAUAACCCCAAAAGAACCAGAUUCCGUAAACAACAUAGAGGCAGAAUGAAGGGAAUAUCUUAUCGAGGUAAUCGUAUUUCUUUCGGUAAAUAUGCUCUUCAGGCACUUGAACCUGCUUGGAUUACAUCUCGACAAAUAGAAGCAGGCCGACGGGCAAUGACACGAAAUGCACGUCGUGGUGGAAAAAUAUGGGUACGUAUAUUUCCAGACAAACCUGUUACAUUAAGACCGGCAGAAACCCGUAUGGGUUCAGGAAAAGGAUCCCCUGAAUAUUGGGUAGCUGUUGUUAAACCGGGGCGAAUACUUUAUGAAAUGGGUGGAGUAACAGAAAAUAUAGCCAGAAGGGCUAUUUCACUAGCAGCAUCCAAAAUGCCUAUACGAACUCAAUUCAUUAUUUCGUAAUGUAAUAGAAAAAAAUGUAGAAAGGGCUCUUAGAUAUGAAAGAAAACCGCAUGUUUCUUUUUUUUGGACAAAAAUAUUUCUUUUUUUUUCUUCGCCCUUUGCAUUCAAAGAACGGAUUAAAAAAAUGAUUCAACCUCAGACCCAUUUAAAUGUAGCGGAUAAUAGCGGGGCUCGAGAAUUGAUGUGUAUUCGAAUCAUAGGAGCUAGCAAUCGUCGAUAUGCUCAUAUUGGUGACGUUAUUGUUGCUGUGAUCAAAGAAGCAGUACCAAAUAUGCCCCUAGAAAGAUCAGAAGUAGUCAGAGCUGUAAUUGUGCGUACCUGUAAAGAACUCAAACGUGACAACGGGAUGAUAAUACGAUACGAUGACAAUGCUGCAGUUGUUAUUGAUCAAGAAGGAAAUCCAAAAGGAACUCGAAUUUUUGGUGCAAUCGCCCGGGAAUUGAGAGAAUUAAAUUUUACUAAAAUAGUUUCAUUAGCUCCCGAGGUAUUAUAAAAUGAAAUUGUGAUCUGUUUCGAGUGGGGUAUUUGAAAGAAAUAGAUUAAUUAGUAGAUUGUGUCUCACGCAUAUAUCUUUAAUAAUUCAUAUCAUAUUCAAAAAUAAAUAAGUAAAAAACACGUUGAUUAUAUCAAAUUUGGAGACCCCAAUAAUUUUAGUUCAUCAUGGGCAGGGACACUAUUGCUGAGAUAAUAACUUCUAUACGAAAUGCUGAUAUGGAUCGAAAAAGGGUGGUUCGAAUAGCAUCUACUAAUAUUACCGAAAAUAUUGUUCAAAUACUUUUACGAGAGGGUUUUAUCGAAAACGUGAGAAAACAUCGAGAAAACAACAAAUACUUUUUGGUUUUAACCCUGCGACAUAGAAGGAAUAGGAAAAGACCCUAUAGAAAUAUUUUAAAUUUAAAACGAAUCAGUCGACCUGGUCUACGAAUCUAUUCUAAUUAUCAACGAAUUCCGCGAAUUUUAGGUGGAAUGGGGAUUGUAAUUCUUUCUACUUCUCGAGGUAUAAUGACAGACCGAGAGGCUCGACUAGAAGGAAUAGGUGGAGAAAUUUUGUGUUAUAUCUGGUAAUCCUUUAUAAUAUGCAAAUUGAAUUCGAAACUUCCUAUUUGCGAAAAAGGGGGGGAGAGUUAUCUAAUAUCUUUCGCAUUAGUUGAUACCUCAAAGGAACUUUGUUUUAUACAGAUACUGCCAGGAGAUAGAGUCAAAAUUGAAGUAAGUCCUUAUGAUUCAACCAAAGGACAUAUAAUUUAUCGACUCCACAACAAAGAUUUGAAGGAUUAGGUUUUCAACUUCACCAUUCCUUUCGUGGGAAUACAAUUCGAGAUGAAAAAUUUCAAGAAACUUAUUUUCUUCCAAGAAAUAGAUUCAGAAUUAAGGUAAGGAAUGAUAAAUAUGAAAAUAAGAGCUUCCGUUCGUAAAAUUUGUGAAAAAUGUCGACUAAUCCGUAGGAGGGGGCGCAUUAUAGUAAUUUGUUCCAACCCGAGACAUAAACAAAGACAGGGCUAAUCAGACUUGCCAGAAGAGCCGAUGUACAAAUAAAGAAUCUGUUUUGACAUGAAAUGGAUAUAUCCAUAUAUCUCUGACUCAUAUUUACGAGAUGAUAAAAUAUGGCAAAAGCUAUACCGAAAAUUAGUUCGCGUCGGAAUGGACGUAUUAGUUCACGUAAGGGUGCACGUAGAAUACCAAAGGGAGUUAUUCAUGUUCAAGCAAGUUUCAAUAAUACCAUUGUCACUGUUACAGAUGUACGGGGUCGAGUAGUUUCUUGGUCCUCAGCUGGUACUUCUGGAUUCAAAGGUACGAGAAGAGGAACACCGUUUGCUGCUCAAACCGCAGCAGCAAACGCUAUCCGUACAGUAGUGGAUCAAGGUAUGCAACGAGCAGAAGUCAUGAUAAAAGGUCCCGGUCUCGGAAGAGAUGCAGCAUUACGAGCUAUUCGUCGCAGUGGUAUACUAUUAACUUUCGUACGGGAUGUAACUCCGAUGCCACAUAAUGGCUGUAGACCUCCGAAAAAAAGACGUGUGUAGAACUGAACAUUGAAGAAAUCUCAAGAGAAAUAAAAGAUUCGAUGAUCUAAUCAAAUAAUAGUACUAUGGUUCGAGAGAAAGUAACAGUAUCUACUCGGACACUACAGUGGAAGUGUGUUGAAUCAAGAACAGACAGUAAACGCCUUUAUUAUGGACGCUUUAUUCUGUCUCCACUUAUGAAAGGCCAAGCCGACACAAUAGGCAUUGCGAUGCGAAGAGCUUUACUUGGGGAAAUAGAAGGAACAUGUAUCACACGUGUAAAAUCUGAGAAAGUACCACAUGAAUAUUCUACCAUAACGGGCAUUCAAGAAUCGGUACAUGAAAUUUUAAUGAAUUUGAAAGAGAUUGUAUUGAGAAGUAAUUUAUAUGGAACUUCUGAGGCGUCUAUUUGUGUCAAGGGUCCUGGAUAUGUAACUGCUCAAGAUAUCAUCUUGCCACCUUAUGUGGAAAUCGUUGAUAAUACACAACAUAUAGCUAGUUUAACGGAACCAAUUGAUUUUUGUAUUGGAUUACAAAUAGAGAGAAAUCGUGGAUAUCUUAUAAAAACGCCACAUAACUUUCAAGAUGGAAGUUAUCCUAUAGAUGCUGUAUUCAUGCCUGUUCGAAACGCGAAUCAUAGUAUUCAUUCUUAUGGGAAUGGGAAUGAAAAACAAGAGAUACUUUUUAUCGAAAUAUGGACAAACGGAAGUUUAACUCCGAAAGAAGCACUUCAUGACGCAUCCCGAAAUUUAAUUGAUUUAUUUAUUCCCUUUUUACAUAUGGAGGAAGACAACUUAUAUUUACAGGACAAUCAACACACGGUUCCUUUAUCCCCUUUUACCUUUCAUGAUAAAUUGGCUAAACUCAUAAAAAACAAAAAAAAAAUAGCAUUGAAAUCGAUUUUUAUUGACCAAUCAGAAUUGUCUUCCAGGAUCUAUAAUUGCCUCAAAAUGUCCAAUAUAUAUACAUUAUUGGACCUUUUGAAUAACAGCCAAGAAGAUCUUAUGAAAAUUGAACAUUUUCGUAGCGAAGAUAUAAAACAGAUAUUGGACAUUUUAGAAAAAUAUUUCGUAAUUGAUUUAGCAAAAAAUAAGUUUUAAAUCUAUUGGACUUACUUAGUGAAAAUAGAUUGAAAAAGCACAAUUUAGCACAAUUAAUAUAUCAUAUAUUAGAUAUUAGAAAGAAAUUAAUAAUGAAAUUGAAUAGAUGUAUCUAGGGAGAAUUCGCUUUGAAGAAACUAUUCCCUAGAUACACAUGUCGUGUUAGUUCACAAUUGAAUCAAUUAAAAAAUUUAAAAAAGACCUAAAGUUAGGGAUUUAUCAAUAGGUAAUGUUGCACCAAUGCCCAACCAAAGGGCGACUGCGGUACCAAUCAAAAAGACAGUCGUCGCUACUGGACGGCGAAAUGGAUUUUGGAAUUUAUUAACAUUCUCUAAAAAAGGUACUGUUAAUAAUCCCGCAGGUACUGAAACCAUUAAAAGAACCCCCAAUAAUUUAUUGGGCACUGUACGAAGUAUUUGAAAUACAGGAAAGAAAUACCAUUCAGGUAAGAUUUCCAAAGGGGUUGCAAAUGGAUCCGCUGGUUCACCAAUCAUUGAUGGUUCUAAAACGGCUAAGCCUACAUUACAUGCAAUAGUACCUAGAAUUACUACUGGAAAAAUAUAUAAAAGAUCAUUGGGCCAUGCGGGCUCGCCAUAAUAAUUAUGACCCAUACCCUUAGCCAAUUUAGCUCUUAAUACAGGAUCAUUCAAGUCAGGUUUUUUUGUUAUUGGGAUAGGUGAAUUCUUAUAGAUCCAUCCCCCGAGGGAACUGGACAUGAUAAUUUUUAAUCAUCCAGCUCGAGCAAGAAUAAAAAGAACCAAACGAAUCCAUAUAUCCAUAGAAAAUAUCUAUAUGGUACCUGUAUUUACACAUACACAUAUAUGAUAUAGGAAUGGUUCAAUAUAAGAAAAAUUUGACUGAAUUCUUUUUUAUGGAGUUGCAACUCUCCAUUACAAAACAAAGAAUUCCGUUCUUACAAGUAAAUACUCAAGACCCAAGUAGGCUUACAAAUCAGAUCAUGAUAUGAUCAAGUGCUUUCUGGGUCGUCUCAGACCUUCUAAUUGGUAUUUAUCUCCAAAAUGCUUGGAGAUACACAUACAAGGUUUGCUUGUUACUAAUAUAGUCUAGCCUCUCUUCUUCUUUAGAUCCCUUGUUUCACUCCGAUAGUAGUAUUGAUCGUGUCAAUGCAGAGGAAAUGAAUACAUUUACAUACUAUUAAAUCUUCUAAGUGAACUAGAUAAAAGGGAAUCUUGAUUCCCUUUUAUCUAGUUCACUUAUACUAGAUCUUACGGAGCCUGCUCAUGUACAACAUGAUUCGGAUCAUAGAAAAGAUUCUCUUUAAGCGAACCAGCCUAUCCUCUGUAUAGGGUUACACGGCGAUUGGAACAAAGAGACACAUUUGGUUGUGAAUUCCCAUGUGGCAGGCAUAUAUCUACACAGACCAAUCAAUAGUUCAAGUCACACACUCCCAUAAUCCAUUUUCUCUUCACAAAAUUCCCUUCAAUCCCCCCGUUUAGUUGGCAUGAAUGGUUAAAGGGAAAUGUCCAAAUCCAU